GAUGAACGCUGGCGGCGUGCCUAAUACAUGCAAGUCGAGCGAACGGACGAGAAGCUUGCUUCUCUGAUGUUAGCGGCGGACGGGUGAGUAACACGUGGAUAACCUACCUAUAAGACUGGGAUAACUUCGGGAAACCGGAGCUAAUACCGGAUAAUAUUUUGAACCGCAUGGUUCAAAAGUGAAAGACGGUCUUGCUGUCACUUAUAGAUGGAUCCGCGCUGCAUUAGCUAGUUGGUAAGGUAACGGCUUACCAAGGCAACGAUGCAUAGCCGACCUGAGAGGGUGAUCGGCCACACUGGAACUGAGACACGGUCCAGACUCCUACGGGAGGCAGCAGUAGGGAAUCUUCCGCAAUGGGCGAAAGCCUGACGGAGCAACGCCGCGUGAGUGAUGAAGGUCUUCGGAUCGUAAAACUCUGUUAUUAGGGAAGAACAUAUGUGUAAGUAACUGUGCACAUCUUGACGGUACCUAAUCAGAAAGCCACGGCUAACUACGUGCCAGCAGCCGCGGUAAUACGUAGGUGGCAAGCGUUAUCCGGAAUUAUUGGGCGUAAAGCGCGCGUAGGCGGUUUUUUAAGUCUGAUGUGAAAGCCCACGGCUCAACCGUGGAGGGUCAUUGGAAACUGGAAAACUUGAGUGCAGAAGAGGAAAGUGGAAUUCCAUGUGUAGCGGUGAAAUGCGCAGAGAUAUGGAGGAACACCAGUGGCGAAGGCGACUUUCUGGUCUGUAACUGACGCUGAUGUGCGAAAGCGUGGGGAUCAAACAGGAUUAGAUACCCUGGUAGUCCACGCCGUAAACGAUGAGUGCUAAGUGUUAGGGGGUUUCCGCCCCUUAGUGCUGCAGCUAACGCAUUAAGCACUCCGCCUGGGGAGUACGACCGCAAGGUUGAAACUCAAAGGAAUUGACGGGGACCCGCACAAGCGGUGGAGCAUGUGGUUUAAUUCGAGGCAACGCGAAGAACCUUACCAAAUCUUGACAUCCUUUGACAACUCUAGAGAUAGAGCCUUCCCCUUCGGGGGGCAAAGUGACAGGUGGUGCAUGGUUGUCGUCAGCUCGUGUCGUGAGAUGUUGGGUUAAGUCCCGCAACGAGCGCAACCCUUAAGCUUAGUUGCCAUCAUUAAGUUGGGCACUCUAAGUUGACUGCCGGUGACAAACCGGAGGAAGGUGGGGAUGACGUCAAAUCAUCAUGCCCCUUAUGAUUUGGGCUACACACGUGCUACAAUGGACAAUACAAAGGGCAGCGAAACCGCGAGGUCAAGCAAAUCCCAUAAAGUUGUUCUCAGUUCGGAUUGUAGUCUGCAACUCGACUACAUGAAGCUGGAAUCGCUAGUAAUCGUAGAUCAGCAUGCUACGGUGAAUACGUUCCCGGGUCU
rnacentral:rRNA from 1 species